rnacentral:lncRNA from 1 species
UAUGAAGUAUAAAAGGGAGAAAGAACUUAGAAGCAAAGGACCGAAUCCAAAACUCUCGAACAGAGAAUAUGUAAUUUUCAUUCCUUUAGCUUUUAGACUUAAACAUUUCCUUUUCUGUAACUCGUGUGCUUGCGCCCCUUGGAGGCACGUUGUUUUCCGUUUCCAAUUGUAAAGUUCAUCGCCAAUAAAAAAAACACCC